UUGAAAGAAAAGUAAGACAUGGUUGAGGCUCGCCGCCAUUGACAAGGAACUCUCCUGGAAAAUUCGAACUUUUCAUUUCCAGCUUUGUUGAAAAGCCCAAAAUUCCUCAAAUCAAAAUCUGAAAAAGGAAAUGGAGAAUUCAACCCAAGAAUCCCAUCUCAGAUCCGACAACUCCGUCACCUAUGACUCCCCUUACCCUCUGUACGCCAUGGCUUUCUCUUCCAUUCCCUCUCGUCAUUUCCCACGCAUCGCCGUCGGUAGCUUCAUUGAAGACUACACCAACCGAGUCGACGUCGUUUCGUUUGACCCCGAAACCCUCUCCAUCAAAACUCACCCUACUCUUUCCUUUGACCACCCGUACCCGCCCACCAAGCUCAUGUUCCAACCCAAUUCCGCCCGCAAAUCCUCCGAUCUUCUCGCCUCCUCCGGCGACUUCCUCCGCCUCUGGGAAGUCCGUGACUCUUCGAUCGAGCCCGUCACCGUCCUCAACAACAGCAAGAGCAGCGAAUUCUGCGCGCCUUUAACCUCGUUCGAUUGGAACGAGAUUGAGCCCAAGAGAUUGGGAACUUGUAGCAUUGAUACUACUUGUACUGUUUGGGAUAUCGAAAAGGGCGCUGUCGAAACUCAGUUAAUUGCUCAUGAUAAAGAGGUUUAUGAUAUCUGCUGGGGCGAAGCGAGGGUUUUCGCUUCGGUUUCUGCUGAUGGGUCAGUUAGAAUAUUUGAUUUGAGAGACAAAGAACAUUCAACGAUAAUUUACGAGAGUCCGCAACCGGAUACGCCCUUGCUGAGACUCUCUUGGAAUAAGCAGGAUUUGAGGUACAUGGCGACUAUUUUGAUGGAUAGUAAUAAGGUUGUGAUUUUGGAUAUUAGGUCUCCAACUAUGCCGGUGGCUGAGCUAGAGAGGCAUCUAGCAAGUGUUAAUGCGAUUUCAUGGGCGCCGCAGAGUUCUAGGCAUAUAUGCUCUGUUGGGGAUGACACACAGGCUCUCAUUUGGGAGCUGCCCCCGGUGGCUGGACCGAAUGGGAUUGAUCCCAUGUCUAUGUACUCGGCAGGCUAUGAAAUUAAUCAGCUCCAGUGGUCUGCUGCUCAGCCUGAAUGGAUUGGCAUUGCUUUCUCUAAUAAAAUGCAGCUUUUGAAAGUUUGAGCAUCAUCUUGAACAUGCCAAUAUCAUGGCUUGGCAUGAAACUAUGGAAUCAUGGCCUGUACUGGUUUCCUAGAAGUCAGAAUGAUGUAUUUGAUGGAAGAAAUUGAAGGAACUCUCUGGUUUGGCUUGGGAGAAAGAAGUAAAAGUCAUAUGUUAAUCUUCCUCAAAUCUUCAGUGUGGGAUGAUUUUUGUAUUUUAUUUAGGUCUGUUCUGUAACAUUGUGCUGCAAAAACUAUUGUUUACUAUGUCUACUGAUUGAUUCACUUUUAGUGUAGAUUUUGUACCUUUAGAGCCUCAACUCUUUUGAUGUAGAGAUUAAAAGUAUUCAAUAUCUGCUCCAUUACUGUGUGACUAA